rnacentral:rRNA from 1 species
GAUGAACGCUGGCGGCGUGCCUAAUACAUGCAAGUCGAGCGAACGGACGAGAAGCUUGCUUCUCUGAUGUUAGCGGCGGACGGGUGAGUAACACGUGGAUAACCUACCUAUAAGACUGGGAUAACUUCGGGAAACCGGAGCUAAUACCGGAUGAUAUUUUGAACCGCAUGGUUCAAAAGUGAAAGACGGUCUUGCUGUCACUUAUAGAUGGAUCCGCGCUGCAUUAGCUAGUUGGUAAGGUAACGGCUUACCAAGGCAACGAUGCAUAGCCGACCUGAGAGGGGGAUCGGCCCAACUGGAACUGAGCCACGGUCCAGACUCCUAGGGGGGGCAGGAGGGGGGAAUUUUCCGCAAGGGGGGAAAGCCUGACGGAGCAACGCCGGGGGGGGGAUGAAGGUCUGCGGAUCGUAAAACUUUGUUAUUAGGGAAAAACAAUUUGGUAAGUAACUGUGCACAUCUUGACGGUACCAAAGCAAAAAGCCACGGCAAACUACGU